AUUCGGGAGAAUAAUAUCAUCGUAGCUCCAUUGCUCUUGAUCUUGAAGUUUAAUGGUUGUAAUGGUAUAGAAUUUCUCAAUAUUUUUGCCCCGAGACUCAAAUUGUUGUCCAUUAUUCGAAGUCAUUAUGUGGAUUUAAAGUUCGUUAAAGCCUAUCCCGAGCUGCAAAUGUUGAGAAUUAUGGUGGGCGAAAAAAUUCAAGAAUAUGAAUUUUGGAGACGGUUUAAUUUUUCAGAUUUAAUUUGUUCAUUCGCUAAACUUGUCGCACUUUGCUUCAACAGUUUUUUCUUCAAGUUUAUAGUUCCAGAUUUAGUGCCAAAAAGGCUUGGGGCUACACUACAACAUUUUCAGCUGCUAUUUUCUUGCUUCAAAGCGCACCUAAAUUGCAUGAAAUUAUGAUCAUGCAAGAACAUGUAACUCCCAGGAAUGAUGACAUAGAGGCAGUGACAAAAUAUUUGACAAUACCUGACUAUGUGGAUAAUGAUCUCGUGGCACUUAAAAAGAUAAAGUUAGAAAAUUUUCAGAAUUCCUUAGCUGAACUAUUUUUUAUGAAGCUUUUGCUGGCUCGUUGUCCUUCACUUGUAAAGGUGACAGUUAAGUCAUCGAGAACACUGGAGAGUGAUGAAUUUUACUCUGAAUCGCUGCAGUUUCCUCCAGCAUCACCAAAUUGUCAACAUAAUUCUUGAAGAA